rnacentral:rRNA from 1 species
GAUGAACGCUGGCGGCGUGCCUAAUACAUGCAAGUCGAGCGAACAGAUGAGGAGCUUGCUCCUCUGACGUUAGCGGCGGACGGGUGAGUAACACGUGGAUAACCUACCUAUAAGACUGGGAUAACUUCGCGAAACCGGAGCUAAUACCGGAUAAUAUAUUGAACCGCAUGGUUCAAUAGUGAAAGACGGUUUUGCUGUCACUUAUAGAUGGAUCCGCGCCGCAUUAGCUAGUUGGUAAGGUAACGGCUUACCAAGGCAACGAUGCGUAGCCGACCUGAGAGGGUGAUCGGCCACACUGGAACUGAGACACGGUCCAGACUCCUACGGGAGGCAGCAGUAGGGAAUCUUCCGCAAUGGGCGAAAGCUUGACGGAGCAACGCCGCGUGAGUGAUGAAGGUCUUCGGAUCGUAAAACUCUGUUAUUAGGGAAGAACAAAUGUGUAAGUAACUAUGCACGUCUUGACGGUACCUAAUCAGAAAGCCACGGCUAACUACGUG